UCCCCACCCAGGGGGUGUUCUUCCCCAGAACCUCUAGCAGGGAACCGGCGCAGAAGAAAGUUCAGAAAACCCGGCUGGUUACCCUAGACUCACGCCGUCACCCCAGCAGGAAAUGUGACCAGGGAGCAGGGGUGUGGCUCCCCAGAGGGGCCCGAGGGGUGCGGUGGGGGGCUUUCCCCAGGGCUCCCAGGGGACUGACCCCGGCCCAGGGAGGGCGAGGGAUGGAGGAGCCACUAUUCCAGCGCUCCCCCCGCUCCGGGAGUGCCUGGAGUAGCGGCUUCGGGGCAGAGGAGGAAGUCGCAGGAAGGCAGAAACCACGCGCCAGGCCAAAAGGAGGAGAUAGGAGAACAACCUGAUCGCAGCUCCCUCCAGCUUGACUCAGACAGCCUCCCCCGCGCCUCGGCCUCCACCUGCCUCCCCCGCGAACUGGGCUCUGCGUCUAGAGCCUCAGCCUCUGCCACCCACCAAGGCUGCACCGGGUCACAGAUGCCAGGAUUGAGCCCGCACAGCUGGCUGUUCAAACCCCAAACCCUUCGUGCCCCGCAGCCAGGAGCUUUCCGCCCCUACAACACAGCCCCACCCCGCCGCCCACUCCUGAGAGCCUCAACUUCCAGCCUUGCCUGGAGCGGCUAACCCCCACCCAGAUCAUGCACACCCCAGCUUCUGUGCUCUUCCUCCCGGGACCGGACCGGGAUCUUCCUCCUUUCUGCCUCUCAGAGCCUUCCUGAGCAAAGACAUUCCCUGAGGACUGGCUGGAGAAGGGUUCUUCGUGGCUUUUGGUUGGUGGUCCAGGUGGAUACUCGGUAUCAGCUGCACCCCAGCCUGCUGCUGUGGAGCUAGAGGAAUGCUGGUCUUCUGGCUGUGGCUCCUCCCAGCCUGCUAUUUUAUGUAUUGUUUUCAUUAUUAUUAUUUUUUUCUUUUUUUUCCGACGGAGUCUUCCUCUGUCACCAGACUGGAGUGCAGCGUUGACAUCUCAGCUCACUGCAACUUACACCUCCCCGGUCCAAGUGAUUCUCCUGUGUCAGCCUCCCGAGAACCUGGGAUUACAGGUCACCCCACCCUACCUCAAACGACCAUGGCAGGACAAACAGCUGCCAGCAACUGGGGCCAUCGCCUGGCAGCUCACACACCUGUCAGCAUGCCCACCUGCUUGACUGGCCCUGUCACAACUUCUGGGCACUCCUCCACGCUCCCGCAGCCUGCUACCUGCCCCGUGGCAUGGGGCCCUCCUCAUUAUGCUGUUUUCGCGCCUGGACAGACAAACAGCUGGUGGCCAGGGUGA
rnacentral:lncRNA from 1 species